rnacentral:sRNA from 1 species
CAGAGAGGAGACCCGGGUGGUGGACAGCGACUACACCCAGUUCGCCCUGAUGCUGUCCCGCAGACACACGAGCAGGCUGGCCAUCCUCAGGAUCAGCCUGCUGGGCAGGAGCUGGUUGCUGCCUCCCGGGACGCUGGACCAGUUCAUCUGCCUGGGCAGAGCUCAGGGCCUCUCGGAUGACAACAUUGUCUUCCCAGAUGUGACCGGAGGUGCCCUGGACCUUAGCAGCCUGCCCUGGGUGGCAGCCCCAGCCUUACUACUCAGAGAGCCCCGGCCCCCAAGGCCUGACUCUUCUUGUGGGAGGGCGAGGCUGGUCACCCCAGGCCAGUGUCUGUUGAAGGAUGAAGCAGCUCCUGUCCGGCCCAGCCCUGCCUCACAGCUGCGCGAGCUCUGCCCUCCUCAGCUCUCAAACCUGAAUAAAUGCACCAAGCCCAGA